rnacentral:rRNA from 1 species
GAGUUUGAUCAUGGCUCAGAACGAACGCUGGCGGCAUGCCUAACACAUGCAAGUCGAACGAGACCUUCGGGUCUAGUGGCGCACGGGUGCGUAACGCGUGGGAAUCUGCCCUUGGGUUCGGAAUAACAGUUAGAAAUGACUGCUAAUACCGGAUGAUGUCUUCGGACCAAAGAUUUAUCGCCCAGGGAUGAGCCCGCGUAGGAUUAGCUUGUUGGUGAGGUAAAGGCUCACCAAGGCGACGAUCCUUAGCUGGUCUGAGAGGAUGAUCAGCCACACUGGGACUGAGACACGGCCCAGACUCCUACGGGAGGCAGCAGUGGGGAAUAUUGGACAAUGGGCGAAAGCCUGAUCCAGCAAUGCCGCGUGAGUGAUGAAGGGCCUUAGGGUUGUAAAGCUCUUUUACCCCGGGAUGAUAAUGACAGUACCGGGAGAAU